rnacentral:tRNA from 1 species
ACCUGGCUGGCUCAGUGGGUAGAGCAUGCCACUCUUGAUCUCGGGGUUGUGAGUUCGAGCCUCAUGUUGGGUG